AAAGUAUUAUUGAAUUUGUUUAAAUGGGAAUUGUUAAUUAAAAUAAUUUUAGUGAUGGAGUUUUAGUAUAGUUUAUAGAAUUUAUAAGAUGAUUAAUAGCAUAGUAGUACUGUGGGGGAAGUGUGAAAUAGAUGAAAUAGUUAUUAGGAUAAAAGAAGAACAUGGUUUGUACCUUGGGUAUCAGGGUUUAUUAAUUAAUAAUAAUGAUUUAUAGUUCCCGAAUUGAGAAGGGUUAAGAUAGUAUGGUUAGUUAAUGUGGUAUUAUUAUUAGCAAUAUUAUUUUAGUAAUGAAAUGUUAGACGUUUUUUAAGUUAUCUGGUUUUUCAAGAAAUGAAUUUAAUUCAUGUUAUUGGGAGUAAAUGUUUAAUUAAAGAUUAAUGGUUUAUUUUUGGUAUUAAAUGUAUAAAGGGAUAAGCUUUUAUACAGGUGUUAUAAGUUCUAUAAUUUAUGAAGAGUGGUAGGCUUUAAAUUAGCUAUCAAUGAGAUAAUGUUAUAAGUUGUUUUUAUGGUUAAAUUAUUUUUAAUAGUUUUAAGUAGUUUAUUGAAAUGUUGCACUAAAUGGGAUGGUCUAAGCAAUAAUGAUAAAAUGAGUAUAUAUAUAGUUGUUUGUAUAUAUUUUUAUGAAAAUUUAUAAUAAGGAACUAGGCAAAUUGUCGCUCGCCUGUUUAUCAAAAACAUCUCCUUUUGGUUUCAUACAAGGUAGAACCUGCCCACUGAAAUUAUUUGAAGGGCCGCGGUAUUAUGACCGUGCAAAGGUAGCAUAAUCAUUAGUCUUUUAAUUGAAGGCUGGAAUGAAUGGUUUGACGAGGUGAUUACUGUCUCAUUAUAAUAAAUAGAAGUUAACUUUUAAGUUAAAAGGCUUAAAUUUUGAUGGGGGACGAGAAGACCCUAUAGAACUUUAUAUAUAUAUAUUAAAAUUUGUGUUUAGGAGUUUAUGAAAAUUUUAGUUGAUUAUAUUAUGUUGGGGUGACAUAAAGAUAAAAUUAACUCUUUAUUUUUAGAACAUUGAUUUAUGGAUGAAUUGAUCCAUUUUUAAUGAUCAUAAGGUUAAGUUACCUUAGGGAUAACAGCGUAAUUUUUCUUGAGAGUUCAUAUCAACAGAGAAGAUUGCGACCUCGAUGUUGGAUUAAGGAAUAUAAUUAGAUGUAGCAGUUUAUUUAAUAGGUCUGUUCGACCUUUAAAUCCUUACAUGAUCUGAGUUCAGACCGGUGUGAGCCAGGUCGGUUUCUAUCCUUAUUAAAUUUUUAUACUUUAGUACGAAAGGACCAAGUAUUUUAAAUAUUUUAUUAUAUUUGAUUAUUAUUA
rnacentral:rRNA from 1 species